GCAGGAUAUUCUUGCAAUGUAUGUGACAAAGUAUAACACAUUUUCAUGCUGGCUAUACAUAAGUUGUUGCAAGCUUAUAUAUGAGAUCAGGAGCUCGGUGGGCCUAGAGUUUGAACGUAUAGGGAUUAAAUAAGCUAGCUUUAGAAACUAGGGAAGAAGGAGGACAUCUCAACAUUUCAUGGUCAGCUAUGCAAACACAAAGAAAGGAACAAUACAAAAUGAAUGGCUUUGACCACUUUGAAUGUACUGUAAAAAGGUCAGACUGAGGAAGAUGUCGAGCCUUUGUGAGGAAGACUUCUGACUUCAUCCCAUGAUCACCAGAGGGAGACCCCUACAACAGACAAUGCAUGCACCAGGAGAGAGAAGUACUAAGUGCUUUUAAGAUUGCCAUGGCCACACAGGCUGACAAAUCUAAGCUGAGCAACAGCUGAAGCUUAUUUCAGUGGAAUGGAUGUAUUUAUUCCUGGGAGACAUUUUGCAAGGAGCAAGUAUAAUUGCAAGGUAGAUGUGAUGCUGCAAUUGGAAACAUGACACUGCUAUCUUGUGGUAAUUCUUUUCUUCUUUCCUCUGUGUUGUGUCACUUCCUCUGUCAGAAGGUUUCAGCAGAGUUCAGAUCAAAGAGCACAACUAGUUCUCAACAUACACAGAGCAAAAAACUCAGAGGAUAUUCAGCACCUCAGCAGUGGAAACUUGUUU
ensembl:lncRNA